rnacentral:rRNA from 1 species
CACGUAGGCGGACAUUUAAGUCAGGGGUGAAAUCCCGGGGCUCAACCCUGGAACUGCCUUUGAUACUGGGUGUCUUGAGUACGAGAGAGGUGAGUGGAAUUCCGAGUGUAGAGGUGAAAUUCGUAGAUAUUCGGAAGAACACCAGUGGCGAAGGCGGCUCACUGGCUCGUAACUGACGCUGAGGUGCGAAAGCGUGGGGAGCAAACA